CCUGCCUCCUGCCUCCUGUCUCCUGGAAGAACUGAUAGAUUUCUGUUAGUGGUGGAAUGAAGAAUCUGUGGUUUACAUGCAUUCAAACUUCAGACUGGUUAGGGUCCAAUAUUUCAGGUUAGGGUCCAAUAUUUCAGGUUAGGGUCCAAUAUUUCAGGUUCGGGGGUAAUAUUUCAGGUUAGGGUCCAAUAUUUCAGGUUAGGGUCCAAUAUUUCAGGUUAGGAUCCAAUAUUUCAGGUUAGGGUCCAAUAUUUCAGGUUAGGGUCCAAUAUUUCAGGUUAGGGUCCAAUAUUUCAGGUUAGGGUCCAAUAU